CAGUAGCCGCGGUAAUACGUAGGGUGCAAGCGUUAUCCGGAAUUAUUGGGCGUAAAGAGCUCGUAGGCGGUCUGUCGCGUCUGCUGUGAAAACUGGGGGCUCAACCCCCAGCCUGCAGUGGGUACGGGCAGACUAGAGUGCGGUAGGGGAGAUUGGAACUCCUGGUGUAGCGGUGGAAUGCGCAGAUAUCAGGAAGAACACCGAUGGCGAAGGCAGAUCUCUGGGCCGUAACUGACGCUGAGGAGCGAAAGCAUGGGGAGCGAACAGGAUUAGAUACCCCCGUAGUCCCUGUCUCUUAUAC
rnacentral:rRNA from 1 species